CAGCAAAGUUGUCAAACUAAAAUGGCAAAUACUUUGGAUAAAGCUUGGCAAGAGUAAUGGUGCAAUUUUCCGUCCCUCUCAAUUAUAUCUGUUUGAAGAUGACCUUGAACAAAUUGCUAUAUU